rnacentral:lncRNA from 1 species
UACAAAAAUUAGCCAGGCGUGGUGGCAUGAACCUGUAGUCCCAGCUACUCAGGAGGCUGAGGCAGAAGAAUCACUUGAACCCGGGAGGCAGAGGUUGCAGUGAGCCAAGAUCACGCCACUGGACUCCAGCCUGGGUGACAGAGCAAGACUCUGUCAAAAAAAAAAAAAAAAAAAAAAAGGCCGUAUAAGCCUCAAGAGGCGGCCAGCCCUGUGUGAGGUGGAAGUUAAGAGCAUGGGGUUCAGGCAUCUUGCAUUCAAAUCCAGCUUUUUCACUGACUGUGGGAUGUUAUUUGAACUUUCCAAGAUAAUAAUAGUAUCUAUAUCACAGAGGUGAGUGCUAAGUGACAUAAUGCUGGCAAAUAGUAAGCACCUAAUAUGUGUUAGGUAUUAUUGUUACUGUUGUGUUUAUUAGGCCCUGUUUGUCUUUGGGGACUUAGAGUUUUUCAUUUGAAGUCCUUCAAUUCUCUUCCUCAUUCCUACCAUCUCCCCUUCACCCCUGCAGCUUGCUGAAAACUGUAGGACACACAGGCAACUGUUAAUACUUCAGACACUAUAGAAAUAUCAUAAUAUCGUUUCAUACGGGCUAUACAAUGUGGCAUCAUUAAAACAUAAUUGGCUAUUCCAAUGGUAAGGAAGGAUGAGUACAAAGAACUAGGACCAGUUGAACACACCCAGCUGUUCCCAAAAUGCCACUUGCACUCUCUUUCUAAAAAUGAAGUGUUAAGUCACAGAGAGGAGAAAAGAGAUGACUGCCUCCCUUUUUCUGCUAUAUAUGGAACCUUCAGUCAUUUGUUGUAGGUGAGUUGCAAGCAUUUAAAGGAAUUAGUUGACCUUCGUGUUUUGCAUAAAUACUGAUCACAGAGAAACUUUAGAGUAUUGUCAAAUGGUCUAGAUCUGCAUUGUCUCACACAGUAGCUCUUAGCACCAUGUGGCUAUUGUAAAAUGUGGCUGGUGUGACUGAAGACCUGAAUAUUUAACUUUCUUUUCUUAUAAUUAAUUUAUAUGCAACUCAAAUACAGAAUAUUUGAAAUUAAUUUCAUCUCUUUGCUUGUACAUUUUUGAAAAUAUUUGAAAAUAAAUUUGUUGAGUGUAUCAAUAGUUCACUCUGAGUAGUUGCUCAGGGUAUAUGAGUUCACUGUAUGAGUAACACAAAUUCAUCUGUUAAUGGACAUUAAGAUCGUUUUCAGUUUGGGGCUAUUCCAAAUAAAACUGCUAGGAACAUUUUUGUACAAGUCUUUGUAGGGGCAUAUAUUUCCUUUCCUCUUAGGUAAAUACCUAGAAAUAAAAUGGCUGGGUCCUUUGGCAGCUAUAAGUUUUGACUUUUUUCCGUCAUUUGAUAUCCUUACCAGCAGUGUGUAGGAGUUCCUGUUCCUCCACAAACUUGCCAUCAUUUGGUCAGUCUUCAAUUGUAGCCCUUCUAAAAGGUAUACAGUAGUAUCUCACUGUGGUUUUAAUGUGCAUCCCUGGAUGACUAAUGACACAGAACAUUUUUUGAUGUUCUUAUCUGCAACCAGUAUAUCUUUGGUGAACCAUGUUCAAAUAUCUUGCUCAUUAUUUAAUUGGGUUGAUUUUUUUUCUUAUUAUUGCGUUUUGAGAUUUAUUUCUAUAGCCUGGAUUCAGGCCCUUUGUUAGAUAUAAGAUUUACAAAUAAUUUUUGCCAGUCUGUAGCUUAUCUUUCCAUUUUCCUAAUAGUGUUUUUAAAGAGCAGAAGUUUUUAAUUAUUUGCUGAAGCCCAGUUUAUCAAUGUUGUAUAAAAAAUUUACAUAUUUUGGU